rnacentral:rRNA from 1 species
AUUGAACGCUGGCGGCAGGCCUAACACAUGCAAGUCGAGCGGAUGAAGGGAGCUUUCUCCUGGAUUCAGCGGCGGACGGGUGAGUAAUGCCUAGGAGUCUGCCUGGUAGUGGGGGAUGACGUCCGGAAACGGGCGCUAAUAACGCCUACGUCCUGAGGGAGAAAGAGGGGGAUCUUCGGACCUCACGCUAUCAGAUGAGCCUAGGUCGGAUUAUCUAGUUGGUGGGGUAAAGGCCUACCAAGGCGACGAACCUUAACUGGUCUGAGAGGAUGAUCAGUCCAACUGGAACGGGGACACGGCCCAGACUCCUACGGGAGGCAGCGGUGGGGAACAUUGGACAAUGGGCGAAAGCCUGAUCCAGCCAUGCCGGGUGUGUGAAGAAGGUCUUCGGAUGGUAAAGCACUUUAAGUUGGAAGGAAGGGCAGUAAGUUAAUACCUUGCUGUUUUGACGUUACCAACAGAAUAAGCACCGGCUAACUUCGUG